CCAUCCAGUUGGCGCCUGGGUUGAGGGGAGGAUGGCAUCAAGGAUAUCUUCCUGGAGGAGGGGCUGAUUAUUCCCAUUCUGAGAACAGGUAGAUCCUGGAUGGAACUGGAGGGAAGGAGCGUUCCCAGGACUGGUCCUCUGCCCCAGUCCUCACCCCCCACAAGGCCCCUGCAGCAUCCCCCACCCAGGCCCUGUCUGCAUCCUCUCCUUCCCUCUGGUCCCAGGAAUACCGAGUCAUGAGGGAGAUCCUGCUGCUCCAGGUCGCUGCAAAGAAUUAUAACAAGACCCCAAGGAGUGAUUUGGGGCCUGGUUCCAGGACAUGGAGCUGCUCAACGAGAAUGAGUCAAACACCAAGGGUAGAGGUCUUCAAGAGAUCAAGUCUAAUCUACCUACGGGUGUGGCAGGCUUACCUAUGGAUGUUCAAGCCAGACAUUGCCAGAAGAACUACAUCUCUUCACCCAUAGAAAAAUGAAUGAUGUGACCAUUUGGUGCAGGACAACAGCAUUAUGUUCACCAGUCUCUGUACUGUAUGUUACUGCACAGCACGGACUGUAGGAAAAAGCCCAGAGGAGCAAUGAAGACAAAGAAGACACGACACCUGCAAAAAGUCAGUGAAGUAUUUCUACACAACAAACCUUCCAGGCUGCCAUGAUCCUCCCUCUGGACCCUGUGGUCAGGGUCGCUGCAGAGAUCCUCCCUUUGGACCCCGCCUGCCUGAAGGGCCCAUACCUUGGUCAGGAGUCUUAGAAGGACUGCCGUGAGCCAUGUCAUAAAAAGGAGAAAACAUCACAUUGGACAGCCCCAAUUCCUGCAUAUACAGACGGGAAACUUAGGUGCACUGCUACUCUGACUCCAAAUACUACAGCACCACAUGCUUCUCAGACUGGUGGAUGCACAGCUCCACUUCUUUGCAGAGAGGAUGCACAACAGCAGAAUAUCCGUGGCCCGACUUUCUGGAGCAUCAGUACUACUACAAGAUUUAGAAAAAGCAAAGUUAGGUCAUUUCCAAGGUUCUCCGCCACCAACUUCCAUAACCAUCAGGAUAUUCUACAACUUCUGCAAGAGUAACAAUUUUACCUUACACUGUAUUUGUCUCAUGUGGUUUAAAACAUCCAGAAAUCAUUGAUAAACUGACCCUGCCCAAACUAAAGCAUGGUGAGUUAUAAAAGAUGGUCGCUGUUAAGUGGGGAGGGAUUGCAGGUUGAACUUAAUUUUAUAAGUGGUCAAUUUAUUACAAUAUAUUGUUCUAUUAUCUAUUUCACUUCUUUUUUAAAAAAAGUGAUAUUUGAGGGCACUUAGAUAAUAAAAAGUUGAGAAGAUAAAGAACUGAUAUACUCUGUAAGCUUGAAAUGUUUUCAAGCAUAAGAUACAAUAAGAACUAAAACUAAGAAAUGGCAGAGGAAAUAGAGAUAAGAGGAUGAAAUUGCAAAACUGAAUCUAUAAUAAUAUCUCAAUGGCUAGCGCUGUGGUGCCAAGAAGGUGGUGUAGUCAAAGAAUUCGUAAAGAUGAUAAUAGACUGCAAAGAAAAAAGACUGAAAUUUUUGCAGAGAGAAUUUUUACAGCGAUAUUACAGAUAGAGAACAGGGAAGAGAAGUUGGAGUGAGAGACUAUCUUCUUAAAUUACUUCCACUGUAGAGAACAAAAAACCAAUUUGCUGAAAUCUUUAUUCCCUUCUAUGACCCUGUGGAAGAUCAAGAUUUGGCCACCCUGAAAUCUAUCUCUUUACCUUGGUUGUUUUCUCUGAGGGCAUUUGACCUCCCCCACUAACUGCCUAAAGAAUUUAAAACAAAACAUCUGUUUCAGGAAGGAGUUAUUAUCAUGAUGGCUGUAAAUAUAAUGUACAAUAGAUAUUACAAUAGAAAAGACACCAACAAGCCCAUCUUAUCAGAAGUUCUGUCUCUGACCAUAUUCUUUGGAUGGCCCUGCAAGGAGUUGCCAGACAGACAUUUACAUUUAUAAGGGAAAUCUCCAUUUGUAAAGGUAUCUGCCUCUCUGAAUUGGGAAGAGGGGGAAUGACCUCAUUUCUAGAAACUUAUCAAUGUAAAAGGUGAGGCCUUAAAUCUGCAUAAUAACCUCACUCUUGUUUACUGUGCUUUAGUGGUAAUCUCCUGUAACUGACUCCCCCCACCCCCAACAACUUCCUUUGUCAUUGGCUGAACAUGAUAUUUAAGAUGAGAAUUCUGCUAUUGUGUUGAGAAACGCAGUGUCCUUGCUUUCUCCCAUGCAUACAUGUUAUUAAACUUGGUAUUAUUUUCUCCUUCUAA